GAUGAAAACGUAGCGAAAUGCGAUAAGUAAUGUGAAUUGCAGAAUUCAGUGAAUCAUCGAAUCUUUGAACGCACAUUGCGCCCUCUGGUAUUCCGGGGGGCAUGCCUGUUCGAGCGUCAUUAUAACCACUCAAGCUCUCGCUUGGUAUUGGAGUUCGCGAUCUCGCGGCUCCUAAAAUCAGUGGCGGUGCCUGUCGGCUCUACGCGUAGUAAUACUCCUCGCGAUUGAGUCCGGUAGGUUUACUUGCCAGCAACCCCCAAUUUUUACAGGUUGACCUCGGAUCAGGUAGGGAUACCCGCUGAACUUAAGCAUAUCAAUAAGCGGAGGA
rnacentral:misc_RNA from 1 species